UGGGGAAUUUUGGACAAUGGGCGAAAGCCUGAUCCAGCAAUGCCGCGUGUGUGAAGAAGGCCUUCGGGUUGUAGAGCACUUUUGUCCGGAAAGAAAUCCUUGGCUCUAAUACAGUCGGGGGAUGACGGUACCGGAAGAAUAAGCACCGGCUAACUACGUGCCAGCAGCCGCGGUAAUACGUAGGGUGCAAGCGUUAAUCGGAAUUACUGGGCGUAAAGCGUGCGCAGGCGGUUUGCUAAGACCGAUGUGAAAUCCCCGGGCUCAACCUGGGAACUGCAUUGGUGACUGGCAGGCUAGAGUAUGGCAGAGGGGGGUAGAAUUCCACGUGUAGCAGUGAAAUGCGUAGAGAUGUGGAGGAAUACCGAUGGCGAAGGCAGCCCCCUGGGCCAAUACUGACGCUCAUGCACGAAAGCGUGGGGAGCAAACAGGAUUAGAUACCCUGGUAGUCCACGCCCUAAAACGAUGUCAACUAGUUGUUGGGGAUUCAUUUCCUUAGUAACGUAGCUAACGCGUGAAGUUGACCGCCUGGGGAGUACGGUCGCAA
rnacentral:rRNA from 1 species